rnacentral:rRNA from 1 species
UACGAAGGGGGCAAGCGUUGUUCGGAAUUACUGGGCGUAAAGGGCGCGUAGGCGGUGCACUAAGUCAGGCGUGAAAGCCCUGGGCUCAACCCGGGAAUUGCGCUUGAUACUGGUGCGCUCGAAUCCAGGAGAGGUUGGUGGAAUUCCCAGUGUAGAGGUGAAAUUCGUAGAGAUCGGGAGGAACACCAGUGGCGAAGGCGGCCAUCUGGAUCAACACUGACGCUGAGGCACGAAAGCGUGGGGAGCAAACAGG